rnacentral:rRNA from 1 species
UGCUCUGGGGAUUAGUGGCGAACGGGUGAGUAACACGUGAGUAACCUGCCCUUGACUCUGGGAUAAGCGUUGGAAACGACGUCUAAUACCGGAUACGACCAGCCUCGGCAUCGAGUGUUGGUGGAAAGAAUUUUGGUCAAGGAUGGACUCGCGGCCUAUCAGGUAGUUGGUGAGGUAAUGGCUCACCAAGCCUACGACGGGUAGCCGGCCUGAGAGGGUGACCGGCCACACUGGGACCGAGACACGGCCCAGACUCCUACGGGAGGCAGCAGUGGGGAAUAUUGCACAAUGGGCGAAAGCCUGAUGCAGCAACGCCGCGUGAGGGACGACGGCCUUCGGGUUGUAAACCUCUUUUAGCAGGGAAGAAGCGAAAGUGACGGUACCUGCAGAAAAAGCACCGGCUAACUACGUGCCAGCAGCCGCGGUAAUACGUAGGGUGCAAGCGUUGUCCGGAAUUAUUGGGCGUAAAGAGCUCGUAGGCGGUUUGUCGCGUCUGCUGUGAUAACCCGAGGCUCAACCUCGGGCCUGCAGUGGGUA